rnacentral:lncRNA from 1 species
GAGAUCUGAAUGAUGACAAUGAGGAGGUCAGGUGAAGAUCCUGGACAAGAAGAUUCUUAGCAGAAGGCACGGCAGGAACAAAGGGCCUGAGAGUGGAAUGAGCUUGCUUCAGCGGAGUCAGUGAGAGGCCCUGGCGCCCAGAACAUGGGAGCAAGGGAGCGGGGCCAUUGUGAGAGCAGAAAGACAGACAGGUGCCGGGUCAGGUAGGACUCUGAGGACCGAGGGAAGGAGUUUGGAUUUUACUCUGGUUCAGGGAGAGGCCUUUGGAGGGUUUCAAGUAGGGGAAAUAUGUAAUCUGAUUUUGCUUCAAGAAGACUCCUCCAGCUGGCUGCUCUGUGGAGGAAACAGACGGACGGAAGAGAGACCAUCUUCAUGAGGCCGUCAUGACCCAUCAACCAAGUGAGAUCUCAGCAUUUCCCCACUGACCAGACUGAACAUCUGACUAUUACAGGGGCUAGCCCCGUGGCGCAGCGGUUAAGUUCACACGUUCCACUUCUCAGUGGCCCGGGGUUUGCUGGUUCAGAUCCUGGGUGUGGACAUGGCACCGCUUGGCACACCAUGCUGUGUAUCUCAACAAACAAAAUGCCAGAAGGCUCAACUUCUAUGAGGCCCCGUGGGAAACAUGAACAUUUAAAGUGUAAUGGACAAACAGAAGCCUGUGAGUGAGAAAAAGAAUGGUGAGGGAGCUGGAAAGGAAAGAGAAUCAGGGGACUGCAGGUUUACGGAAGCUAAGAGAAGCAAGACUUUUUAGAAGUGACCAACAUGUCCAAACGAAACAGAAAAAUCCAGUAAAAUAAAGGAUGAGGGGCUUCCCCAUGGCUGAGUGUUUGAGUUUGCAAGCUCU